GCCGGGGUGGCGGAAUCGGUAGACGCAGCGGACUCAAAAUCCGCCGCCGCAAGGCGUGAGGGUUCGAGUCCCUCUCCCGGCA
rnacentral:tRNA from 1 species